rnacentral:tRNA from 1 species
GGUGGCUCAGUGGUAGAGUGCUUGCCUUGCAUGCAUGAGACCCUGGCUUCGAUUCCUGAGCACCA